rnacentral:rRNA from 1 species
GAGCGGAAAGGCCCUUCGGGGUACUCGAGCGGCGAACGGGUGAGUAACACGUGAGUAACCUGCCCUUGGCUAUGGGAUAAGCCCGGGAAACUGGGUCUAAUACCGGAUAUGACUAUCGGCUGCAUGGUUGAUGGUGGAAAGUUUUUCGGCUGGGGAUGGACUCGCGGUCUAUCAGCUUGUUGGUGGGGUAACGGCCUACCAAGGCGACGACGGAUAGCCGGCCUGAGAGGGUGACCGGCCACACUGGGACUGAGACACGGCCCAGACUCCUACGGGAGGCAGCAGUGGGGAAUAUUGCGCAAUGGGCGGAAGCCUGACGCAGCGACGCCGCGUGGGGGAUGAAGGCCUUCGGGUUGUAAACCUCUUUCACCACCGACGAAGCUAACGUGACGGUAGGUGGGGAAGAAGCGCCGGCUAACUACGUGCCAGCAGCCGCGGUAAU